UCAGACGAUGCGUCAUGCAUAUCAAUAAGCGGAGGAAAAGAAACUAACAAGGAUUCCCUUAGUAACGGCGAGUGAAGCGGGAAGAGCUCAAAUUUGAAAUCUUCAAGGUUUUACCUUGACGAAUUGUAGUUUAAAGAAGUGUUUUCUGCUGAAGUUUUGGUAAAAGUUCUUUGGAAUAGGACAUCAUAGAGGGUGAGAAUCCCGUAUUUGACCAUUAUUUUCAGCUUUGUGAUACACUUUCAAAGAGUCGGAUUGUUUGGGAAUGCAGUCCAAAAUGGGUGGUAAAUUUCAUCUAAAGCUAAAUAUUGGCGAGAGACCGAUAGCGAACAAGUACCGUGAGGGAAAGAUGAAAAGAACUUUGAAAAGAGAGUUAAACAGUACGUGAAAUUGUCAAAAGGGAAGCGUUUGACACCAGUGUUGUUUUCUCGAAAAUCAAUUAAAAAUGGCUCGAUUUUGUAUUGCUGAGACCUUAAAAGCUCACUGUACAUUUUUCGUGUCUUUUUUAAUGCACUUUUCGUUUAACAAGUCAACAUCAGUUUCUUUUGUUGUAAAAGGGUCAUUGGAAGGUGAGCUUUCUUUUCGGAGAAAGUGUUUAUAGCCUUUGGCCUCUGCAAUCGGAGAGACUGAGGUCUGCAGCGUAGACUCUUCGGGGUUAGAUACAUUUGUGCUAAGUUAUAGCUUUUUAUAGACAACUUGUUGACUAUAAUUAGUCUUGUAGCUUACUCGCUUAUGCUAUUUUACCUACGCUUAGGAUGUUGAAGUCAUCGUAUCGCGC
rnacentral:rRNA from 1 species